rnacentral:tRNA from 1 species
ACUAUUUUGGCAGAAAAGUGCAUUGGAUUUAGAAUCCAAAAAUGUAAGUGUAUUACAGAUAGUA